CACGAACGCUGGCGGCAGGCUUAACACAUGCAAGUCGAGCGCCCCGCAAGGGGAGCGGCAGACGGGUGAGUAACGCGUGGGAAUCUACCCAUCUCUACGGAAUAACGCAUGGAAACGUGUGCUAAUACCGUAUACGUCCUUCGGGAGAAAGAUUUAUCGGAGAUGGAUGAGCCCGCGUUGGAUUGGCUAGUUGGUGGGGUAAAGGCCUACCAAGGCGACGAUCCAUAGCUGGUCUGAGAGGAUGAUCAGCCACACUGGGACUGAGACACGGCCCAGACUCCUACGGGAGGCAGCAGUGGGGAAUAUUGGACAAUGGGCGCAAGCCUGAUCCAGCCAUGCCGCGUGAGUGAUGAGGGCCCUAGGGUUGUAAAGCUCUUUCACCGGUGAAGAUAAUGACGGUAACCGGAGAAGAAGCCCCGGCUAACUUCGUGCCAGCCGCCGCAGUAAGAC
rnacentral:rRNA from 1 species